CUUUGGAAUCGCUGUAAUAUGUGGGAAAGAAAAGACCGCAAAGUCUCGGGAUGAACUAGAACCACUGGUCUUCAGGAGUUUGUUCUGGAUUGGAGCUAAACUUUGCAGAAAAUUGAGACCAGCUCGAAGACCAUCCAUUGCUCAGCCAUGGACAAGAAUAUCUAGAACCUGUGGCACAAACAAGGCUAACCAGGGCAGAAAUAUGAGGACAUCAUCAGCCUUGCUGAGUUUGCUCCCCUCUGCGUGACUCACCGCCUGCCCUGUGCCAGGCCUUGGGAAGACCGUUCCUCGCUGGGCUGGGAUCAAUCCCUGCUGGCGCAUUACUGAUCUCACACAGUGCACACACCACCUGACAACCUCGUAAAGCCCCGGCACUCAGGCAAAAGAGGGUUUGGACUGGAGGUUUACAAGUUUGGAUGGAAUUCUCAAGCAUUGCGGGUCACCGGAGCAUGAGGGAAGUAGUGCUCAUACCACCUCAGCUUUAAUCAGGUCUAAAUGUCACAUCAACCACAGAUGUGCAUUCCAGAUGUGAAAAUAAUGAGAUGGACAGAACAGAAAAAACAUUUUUAACCUCUCUGAGGGAACCUUUGUAUGUUUUACUGGUUUGCACUUAGACCAUGCCGACCUUACGUUGCUCAAAAUCCUUUACAUCUCCUCAUAACAAUUUUUUAAAGCACAUUCAAAACAACUGACACUGAGGGUGGAAUCUCACGAAAACAUGUCCAAAUCACAUUUUUACCAUGAAAGCAAAAGAAAAAAAUAUAAUAAAUACUAAAAGAAAAGUUUUUACAUUUUUCUAUACAUUUUACUUUUAAAAAUAUUUUCCAUUCAAUUCUUGUAACUGUAAUACAGUAUUUAAAUUUGCUGAUUUAAAUAAUUAUUAAUAAUUGUAAUUAUUAUUAUAAUUUAUGAUUUAUCUAUUUAUUUAUAUUAUAUAUAUAAUUAUUAUAUUAUAUAAUUAUAUAUAAUUAACAAUGAUGAUGAUUUUUUUAACAAAACACAAAUUUAGUACAAUCGACCUUCAUUGUGAAUACAUUGUCACAAUGCAAAAAUAUAUAAAUAAUAAUAAUAAUAACAGGCUCAAUUUCCUUUAUGCAUUAUAUAUUUAGUAAAAUAUGACUUCUUCACAGGUUUUGUGAGGUGCACCCACUGUUAAUAGAAUCAUAUUGAUGUUCAACUUAUGUAACAUCACAACCAGAACCAAAAAAAGGUGAUGUAUUAAGCCCCCGACAACAAUUUAUGAAGCUGGCCAAUGAGAUAAGACUAAAGCCUGGCCGAUACUCUGGCUUUACGGUAAGCAGUGAUUUAAGACAGAUCAUUUCAACUCUGAAAUAUGACUGUACCUCAAGCAGUCACAAUCAGAAAACAUACAGCAUGAAUCAAGCAGAAAGUAAUAUACCCAAAGCAGGUAGAGAAGAUGGCAACAGGAGACAGGAAGUUCCCCCUGAGUGAGAAGUCCAGUAACUUCUAAUAAAAAAAGACCAAUAUAUGGUGCUUAAUUCAGUGUCCUCGGGUUACAUGUCAGCUCAGCGAGAGAGACAUAGUAUGUAUGACAGGUGAUGUGGGGGAAAGAGUGAAGGAGAAGUAGGGUUGAGGCCCUCACUUUUCAGGGCCCCUCUGUAGAUUCUCUUCUUUCAUCUGUGCACCUGUUUCUCAUUUCCUGGUCAGGCAUGUGAGAGUCGUCCAGCACGGCUGUCAGAAUUCGUCAGAAGACGAUUCCUCCACCGUCCUCCAAAAGCGUGCCCCAUAUACUCUUAAAGCCGGCUCUCCUACACCCCCUCCAUCCCCCUCUCCAUCCAGGGCCCAAUGCGCUACAUCAUCCACCCCCAUCCACACCGCGCAACCCACCUCAUUUCCCUCUGCCCAUCACACCCGCCACAUGUCUGGCUUUGAUCACUGAUCCGCCGCUGUGGGACUGUGAUGGGUGUAGAGGCCUGGAUCUCUCCCCCUGGUUCCCCAAAGAGACCUCAGCGCUCUUCUGAGCCCAGCUGCUUCCUCUGCCUGCAGAAUGAUGGAAACGAGCAGGAUCAGAGCGUUCAGCGCAUCACUCACCGAUUUGCUUAGAGCAGCGUUUGUUGAAAUGAUGUCUCCUGUGGUUAUUGCAUCAUGCAGCCGCUAAAUGCUCUGCACACUAGAGAAUGUGAACUGGAAUCAAGCAAAGUGAUAAAUAUGCUUCGAUUGUUGUAAAUAAUGUUGUCAUUUUUUCAAAUGAUUUUGGUCCAUUGUGUAAAGUGAAAUUGCUUCUCUGUGGCCUAGUCAUGUAAAGGCCAAAUACACAGUCUGUGUAAUUUAUGAAAAAAACAUGAGACUGUUGUCUUUUGUCCUGGUACACAUUUGCCCUAACAAAUAGAACAAAAUCAAAAUGUAAACACGGACAUAUGUCUGCUAAAUGACUAAAUGUAAAUGUAAUGUAAAUAUGGUAUUUUUAUUAUUAUUAUUAUCUUUAUUAUUAUUAUUUUAUUUGGGGAUAUUUAUAACACUUAGUUUUAACUUUUUGUGUGUUUGUUUUUUGCUGUAUUUAUUUGCUGUAUUUUGAAAAAAAAAAAAUCUGUAUAUUUUAUAUAUAUAUAUAUAUAAUAUAUAUAUUCCCACAUUUAUUUGCUGCAUAUCAAAGUUGGAAUCUACAGCUUAUACCUAAGCUGUAUAAAUUAUUAUAAAAUGUUAUAGAGUGCUGUUGUUACAAGAUACCACACUAGGUUUUAUGCAUUUUAAAUGAAAAAAAGUUUAAAAAUUUAAAACAUUUAAAAAAUGAUAUAUUUCUAGAACACCAAAGAAGUUGGAGAAAUUAUUGAACAAAUAUAUAAAACAUAGGCUACGAAAAAAAAAAAAAAACUGUGUGUGCAUGCACCGAAAAAUGGUAAAAAUGGAAAAAAAAAUUUCAAGUAAAAAAUGUCGCUGAAUAAACCCAAAUACAUUAACUUAUACCACCAAAGCUAUAUGGGUUAAAUCUGGCAGAAAUAGCUCUUUAAUGUAACAGUUUCAGGUUAUAUUUCUAAAACACCAAAGAAGUUGGAGAAAUUAUUGAACAAAUAUAUAAAACAUAAAAAUCGAAAAAAAAAGAAGUGUGUGUGUGUGUGUGUGCAUCUAAUUAAACAAGAAAAUCAGCUGUUCCGGGUAAUAAUAGCUUUGUUCAUCAGUUCAUUUAACAUACAUUUACCAGAUUAUUCAUUAUUUUUUGCUGGUAAACAGCAUGGUUUUUAUAUACCACUAGCAACGACCAGCAUGGAGAAUCAUAUAAUUUGAGAUGGUCUUUCCAGCAGGACGGGUUAAAAGUUAAAUAAAAGUCCAGGUUUUUUGAGAGCGAGUCUCUUGUUCACUGCUGUCAUGUCGCGGCUCCGCUGUCAAAAACCUCCUUGAUAAACCACAGCUGCUUCCUCUUAUAGACAAUGUGAAGUUUCUCAGUGUUGCUCUCAGAUCACUCGACUCCUCAGUGGAUCAUUUCAUCUAGCUGUCUGAAACUGGGAGAGCAGUGAAACUGAAGUUUCAUUUUAGAUAGUUCAAAAGAGUACCAGUAAAUACACAAGAAACAGCACAGGUGGGCUGCAGUGCUGGUGAAGUGCUUUACUUUGGCUCAUGCGAGGUCAUUGGCUCAGGUCUUUGUUAGGUUGGACCACAGUCAGUGCAUGAGUUUACUGCGGUUCACACUCGGCCAUUAAUGCUGAAACACAUUGAACACACAUUC